rnacentral:rRNA from 1 species
AUGCAUGACUUAAUGCAUGAUCUUGCAAAAAACGUCACAAAUGAAUGUGCAAGUAUAGGAGAACUGACUCGGCAGAAAGCAUUGUUAAAAGAUGUUUGUCACAUGCAAAUGUCAAAGGCUGAACUGAAACAAAUCAGUGGGUUAUGCAAACACAAAAAAUACCUCCGCACUUUGUUAUCUCCUUCAGAAUUACACGGGCAUUAUUAUUUUUUAAACAGGUCACAUAAGGAUUUUAAAGAGUUUCUACAGAUAUCAGCAUCACUAAGAGCAUUGCAUUGCCCCCCUUCUUCAAUUGACAUUUGCACAGCCAUAAAUGCGAAACAUUUACGAUAUCUUGACCUCUCUCAGUCUAACAUCGUUAGGUUGCCAGAUUCAAUAUGCAUGUUGUAUAACUUGCAAACACUGAUUCUCAAUGGUUGCGAGGAGUUGCAACAGUUAUCAAAAGACAUGAAAAGACUGAGAAAGCUCAUCAAUCUUUAUCUUUUUGGUUGUUUGAGUCUCAAAAGUAUGUCUCCAAACUUUGGUCUACUGAACAACCUUCACAUAUUAACAAAAUUUGUUGUGGAUACUGGAGAUGGACUUGGAAUAGAGCAGCUCAAAGACUUGCAACACCUUAGAAAUAGGUUGGAACUGUUGAAUUUGAACAAGAUAAAGAGUGGGGAAAAUGCAAAAGAAGCCAAUCUCAAUCAGAAGCAAAAUCUAAAUGAGUUGUUGUUAUGUUGGGACCAAGGAAUAGAUCAUGAUAAGCCUAAAAAUAUGGACUGCAAUGCAGAAGAAGUGCUUGAGGGUUUAGAACCUCAUAGUAAUAUCCAAAAUUUGGAGAUAUGUGGGUAUGGUGGCCUAGAAAUAUCACAAUGGAUGAGAAAACCUCAAAUGUUUAACUGCUUGAGAGUACUUGAAAUGUCUGACUGCCCAAGAUGCAAGAGUAUACCUGUAGUAUGGUUCUCGGUCUCUCUAGAAAUUUUGUCCUUGGAGAAGAUGGAUAACAUGACCACAUUAUGUAAUAACCUUGAUGUGGAAGGUGGAUGCAUUACCCCUCUGCAAAUUUUCCCUGGCUUGAAGAGGACGGAGUUGAUUAAGUUACCAAGCCUGGAGAUGUGUGCGGAAAAUAUUGUGGGAGAGCCUUGUGAUAGCUUUGUAAAGUUCCCGAUGCUUGAAGUGCUAAGGAUCGAAAAUUGCCCCAAGCUUGCAAGUAUUCCAUUGAUCCCCAUUGUCUCGGUGUGA